UUGUGUGAAUACAUAGCACAUUCGAGGUAGACGCAGAGAACUGAAACAUCUAAGUACCUGCAGGAAGAGAAAGAAAAUUCGAUUCCCUGAGUAGCGGCGAGCGAAACGGGAAAAGCCCAAACCAGCAAGCUUGCUUGUUGGGGUUGUAGGACUCCAAUAUGGUAGUUCUUUCAGAUAGUCGAAUGACUUGGAAAAGUCAGUCAAAGAGGGUAAAAACCCCGUAGACGAAAUGUGGAAGACACCUAGGAGGAUCCUGAGUACGGCGGAACACGAGAAAUUCCGUCGGAAUCCGGGAGGACCAUCUCCCAAGGCUAAAUACUCCCUAGUGACCGAUAGUGAACCAGUACCGUGAGGGAAAGGUGAAAAGCACCCCGGAAGGGGAGUGAAAUAGAACCUGAAACCGUGUGCCUACAACAAGUCAAAGCCCGUUAAUGGGUGAUGGCGUGCCUUUUGUAGAAUGAACCGGCGAGUUACGAUUGCAUGCGAGGUUAAGUUGAAGAGACGGAGCCGCAGCGAAAGCGAGUCUGAAUAGGGCGUUUGAGUAUGUAGUCGUAGACCCGAAACCAUGUGAUCUACCCAUGUCCAGGUUGAAGGUGCGGUAAAACGCACUGGAGGACCGAACCCACGUACGUUGAAAAGUGCGGGGAUGAGGUGUGGGUAGCGGAGAAAUUCCAAACGAACUUGGAGAUAGCUGGUUCUCUCCGAAAUAGCUUUAGGGCUAGCCUCGGAAUUGAGAAUGAUGGAGGUAGAGCACUGUU
rnacentral:rRNA from 1 species